AUCCAACUGAUGAGUUUCAAAUCAGACGAAACGCGCGUUCUGGAU
rnacentral:hammerhead_ribozyme from 1 species